AGGGUUGCAAUUGCACGUUUCUAAGGAAGGGUCGGAACUAGAUGUGUUCAAUUGACAGUUGGAAGGUGUCAAGGAGAGUCGUAACUACAUGUGCUCAAAUGAGGGUCGUAAGGUGCCAAAAAAUUCGCAACUACAUGUGUUCAAAUGUGGGUCGCAACUAUAAGUCAUCAAGGAGAGUCGCAGCUACAUGUGUUUAAAUGGGACCGCAACUAAGGCUAACCACUUUUUAUGCAAGUCCGUGGGUUUUGUUAAAACUAAUUACAUAAAUUAGGGGAAAAUCUCCUCUUGAGUAACCGUUCGAGCGGUUUCCUCCCGCACGGGCGUCUCUCUCCCGACUCCCUGGAACCGACGCAUCUCCUCUCUGUCGUCGCGUCUCUCCAGGAAUUAUAUAUACUCCCUGUAACCAUCGACAAUGAUAAAUCAAUCACUUUGAUAUGUUUCACGUUAUCAACACGUAGAACUCAACCCACGAGCGGAAGAACACAUAGAGAAGAAGAGAUCGAAACUUGCCGGUGAGAUGCCUGACCUUGUUUCCUUCUUUCUCCGCCUGAUUCGUGCGGAUGGCCAUCGCUACCGUCGUCGCGGUCAUGGUGUUGCCGGACUCCGGCGCUUCCAUCGCAGGACGCAGGCCGUCCGCCGCUUCGCCCGUGGUGGUCACCGCGC
rnacentral:lncRNA from 1 species